GGGAAUCUGUCCUUGGGUUCGGAAUAACAGCGGGAAACUGCUGCUAAUACCGGAUGAAGACGAAAGUCCAAAGAUUUAUCGCCUGAGGAUGAGCCCGCGUUGGAUUAGGUAGUUGGUGGGGUAAAGGCCUACCAAGCCGACGAUCCAUAGCUGGUCUGAGAGGAUGAUCAGCCACACUGGGACUGAGACACGGCCCAGACUCCUACGGGAGGCAGCAGUGGGGAAUAUUGGACAAUGGGCGAAAGCCUGAUCCAGCAAUGCCGCGUGAGUGAUGAAGGCCUUAGGGUUGUAAAGCUCUUUUACCCGGGAUGAUAAUGACAGUACCGGGAGAAUAAGCCCCGGCUAACUCCGUGCCAGCAGCCGCGGUAAUACGGAGGGGGCUAGCGUUGUUCGGAAUUACUGGGCGUAAAGCGCACGUAGGCGGCUUUGUAAGUCAGAGGUGAAAGCCUGGAGCUCAACUCCAGAACUGCCUUUGAGACUGCAUCGCUUGAAUCCAGGAGAGGUGAGUGGAAUUCCGAGU
rnacentral:rRNA from 1 species